rnacentral:piRNA from 1 species
UGAAAAUGGCAUGCUUGCGAUAGGCUGUG